CUGACUGAAUACCCAUGAAUUGUCCUGGACUGGUUUCAGUGGAAGGCAGCAGGAGUUUUUUCUCCAGUUCUGUUCCUGUAGUCAAGUUCACAGAGAACCUGGAGCUCUUUAAGAGCCAGCAUCAGCUUGGGGAGACUUGUGAAAGGAUCUGCAACCUGCUUUGAGCUUUCAGCUUGGUGACAGUCACACCUGAUUGUGACAUGGAUUCUGCUCCAGCAUUGUUGUUGCAGUUAUGUGGCAACGAUGCUGUGCUGUAGCAGGGCUGCUCUGUGCAUCUCUGAACCUUGGAGCAGCAGGAGCCAGAAAGCUUUGUCAGUGUCUGAGAAGGAGAAUUUACAGUGGUGAACUAAAUGAAAUUAGAAAACUGUGUUUUCUCCUGUGUCUCUGGGACGUUCAAGUGCUGUUUUUCUCAAUAUAAGUAUUUCUUGCAGUUUUUCAAAAGAUAAAUUUUUAAAUUAACUUUUUUAAAGACUAGAUUUUGCUAAUAGUAAUUUUCUACUGUUUCUGUAGGAAGUUUUUUAGCCGAAAUAUCAGUAAAAUAUAUCUCUAUGAAGAAAUGCACAAAACAGUUGAGAUGAUGAAGGAAACUGGUACUGUUGUUUAAAUUGAGGUCACUGAUCUCUGCAGUUUCAGUUCCAGCAGGAGACCCACAU